GCCUAUAAUGCCUUUAUGCAAAUUCUGACCAUUCUCUUUUGCACGCCUAUCAUCCGUCUCCCCCUCUCUUCUCUCUACCCUAAUCCCAUUAAUUCUAAUCACAACCAUCAUCGGCUUAUUCCUCCAUCACCACCCAUAUUUUCUUCCUCGAUCUUCAACAAAAUGGUUUGGCUAUAGAAGCAUAUUGUUACAACUCGGUUGAUGUUAAUUGCAGAGAUUCUUACACAGCAAUAACACUCAUUUUGAAGUUUAUUUCGUAUGAAACAUCAAGUCAGCUUGGAUUUGAGUAUGAAGCUUUGACAGAGCAGCAUAUUUUCAGUAUGAAGGAGCAGCAUGACUAAAGAGUCUAUGCAGAUAUGGAUCCUGCUACAAUGAGCAUAGGUCCUGCUGUUGCAAUUCCACUUGCAGUGAAGUCACCACGUCUAGACUCUAGAGCUUCAUAACAUUGAUCUUUUUAAAUCAAAUGAGAUCUAAUGGACUCGUAUAUUUUAAAAUAUCAGGAGCUUGUUGUGUCGCAACUUCACUUCAUGAGAUGAAGCAUCGUGGAUAAGAUAGUCACUCUGGGGUUGUUUUUUUGUGCAUAGAUAUUGUUUGAACGCUAGAGAUGCCAAUCAAACUAAUAGUACCAAUGUUGCAUGUUCUGGUAUGGGAGUUGCGGCAGUGUUUGAAAGAGGAGAUUGAGUUGAUGGCCGAUGAGAUGCUCAUGAAGUUACACCUUAUGGUUAACAAUUUAAGAAUGCACUACAUCACAUGGAAUGCAACACUAGAAUGAGAAUUUGAGAUGAUUUACAAGACUAGAAUAAAAAUUUGUGAGUAGUUUUAGCGAAAUUGUUUCAGGUGUACAUCGUAUUAUUUUGCGGUGUCAAUGGUAUCCGCUGCAACGUGCGGGUACCAUGCUAAUAUUUUUAAUAACAAUCUACGAUUCUUUGUUUA